AUUCCUACGGGAGGCAGCAGUGAGGAAUAUUGCGCAAUGGGGGAAACCCUGACGCAGCGACGCCGCGUGAGUGAAGAAGGAUUUCGGUUCGUAAAGCUCUGUCAAGUGGGAAGAAAUGUCAUAUAGCUAAUACCUAUAUGAUUUGACGGUACCACUAAAGGAAGCACCGGCUAACUCCGUGCCAGCAGCCGCGGUAAUACGGAGGGUGCAAGCGUUGUUCGGAAUUACUGGGCGUAAAGGGCGCGUAGGCGGCCUAUUAGGUCAGAUGUGAAAGCCCACGGCUCAACCGUGGAGGGUCAUCUGAAACUGGUAGGCUUGAGUAUCGGAGAGGAUAGUGGAAUUCCCGGUGUAGAGGUGAAAUUCGUAGAUAUCGGGAGGAACACCAGUAGCGAAGGCGACUGUCUGGCCGAAUACUGACGCUGAGGCGCGAAAGCGUGGGGAGCAAACAGGAUUAGAUACCCUGGUAGUCCACAGCUGUAAACGAUGUGCACUAGGUGUAGGAGGUGUUGACCCCUUCUGUGCCGCAGCUAACGCAUUAAGUGCACCGCCUGGGGAGUACGGUCGCAAGAUUAAAACUCAAAUGAAUUGACGGA
rnacentral:rRNA from 1 species